CAAUAGCGUAUAUUAAAGCUGUUGCGGUUAAAAAGCUCGUAGUUGGAUUUCUGUCAAGGACAACUGGUCCGCCCCUCGGGUGAGCACAUAGUUUGGUCUUGGCAUUUUGUUGGAAACUGUUGCUGCACUUGGUUGUGUGGCGCAGUGUCCAGCACUUUCACUUUGAGGAAAUUGGAGUGUUUCAAGCAGGCACAUGCCUUUGGACACAGUAGCAUGGAAUAAUUAGAUUGGGCUUUUGCUCCAACUUGUCGGUUUCUGGAGCUGAGGUGAGAAUUAAUGGGGAUUGUUGGGGGCAUCCGAAUUUAGCCGUCAGAGGUGAAAUUCUUGGAUCUGCUAAAGACGGACAACUGCGAAAGCGUUUGCCCAGGAUGUUUUCAUUGA
rnacentral:rRNA from 1 species